GAGCAGAUGAUGAUGUGUAGACACAAUUGAUGCUGAAAUUUAAAUUCAUGAAGUCUCAAAAAAUCGAGCUUUAUAAAACUGAUGCUCA